GUGGCACCCGGGAAGUUUCUGCCCCAAAUCAGAAGGAGUGGGGCUCCCACUGACUCCACAGAGUGUGCAGCCCCAGCCCUCCUCUCUGCUGCAGCCGGGGUAAUGGCAGCAGCUGUUGCCAUCAACUGCAUUUGGAAAUAGAACCUUAAAAGAGGUACUUAAGUUAAAAUGUGGUUUUAGGGUGGGUUCUAACUCAAUACCACUGUGCCCUUAUAAAAAGAGGAGAUUAGGACACAGUCGACAAAGAGGAUGACCAUGUGAGGACGCAGCAAAAAGGCGACCACCUGGGAGCCAAGGAGAGAGGCCUCAGAAGAAACAAAACCUGCCAACCCCUUGAACUCAGACUCUCAGCCUCCAAAAUUGUGAGAAAAUUCUUCUGUUGUUUAAACCAUCCAGUCUGUAGCAUUUUGCUAUGGCAGCCGUAGAAAACUCAUACAAAGGGUAACAGCAAGAGUCUAUUUGUCAAGAUUUCUCCCUAAAGCCCUUUGGCUACUCAGGAAGGCCCUGCGUGAAACUUGC
rnacentral:lncRNA from 10 species